UACAUUGUCAGGACCUCUGUGAUGCUU
rnacentral:piRNA from 1 species